GGACACUCUACUGUCAACUAUGCACGUAACUAAGCAACAGAGCGUCCUUUAAAGAAGCAGUUAUGCCAAAGUAGUAUGUCCCAAAACUUGCCUACUAUUCAUCUACAUACACAAAAGCAUGUACCUUUUCUUCACAAAAAGAGUACAUACUUUAAGGGCACAGUAUAAGUAGGCGAAUUGGGAUGCAGCACCGGACAUUAAUAUCGAGAUUAGUUGUCCCCAGUAGUGAUUUUGCAAUGGCUUAAUUUUAAAUGAUUACAUUUGGUCCUCCAAUACUUAAUACGUGCUGAUGGCCUUGAUUGAUUGAAUUUCACUCUAUUAGAAUAAUGAUUAAUAUCUUUAUGUACCACUUUAGAUAAUAUUUCUGUGCAGGAAGGUGGGGAGUUGGGUGAUCUGCCCAGUGCUCAUAAAGUUCUGCAUCAGCCCAGCGGAAGCACAAAGUGGGAGGACGUUUGGCCCAAGGAUCAGAGUGAUGUGAACCUUCAUAAUUUUAGGACCAACCACACAGGAACAUACAGAGUUCUGGACUCUGAAGGAAACAUCUUGAUCACAGUGACAGUCACAGAAUCAGGUACAGAAUCAAAGGACAAACAAGACGACACAAAUAAAGACAAAACUGAACCACUUCCUGUUUGGGCUUUGAUUUUGAUUGUGAUUGUGAUUGGUGUGGUGCUGGUUCUGGCUGUGAUUAUAUUUAUUGUCAUCAAGAAACCCCAAUGUCUGAAAAGGGAUGCUGAUACUGUGACCUACCGUAACCCCUCAGAGCAGAUUAAACUGAAUCUGAAUCAACGAAAAGGGAGUGAUGACGGAACAAAGUAUUCCAGCUAGAACACAUGUGGCCCAUUCAUGUGUUUGUCGGACUGUAAACAAACCUGUCUGCUAGUGCUGGUUCACACAGAACAGCUGAAUCCCUCAUAUUCUUCAAGAAAACCUGAAAACUAUCUCUUCUGUGAGCAACUAACUGCCUUCUCAUUAGAAAAAAAAUAAAACAUUAAAUAAAAAAUACA
ensembl:lncRNA